AGUAAUGCGUGACCAACCUGCCCCAUGCUCCAGAAUAGCUCUUGGAAACGGGUGGUAAUGCUGGAUGCUCCAACUUGACGCAUGUCUUGUUGGGAAAGUGUUUAGUGGCAUGGGAUGGGGGUCGCGGUCCUAUCAGCUUGUAGGCGGGGUAAUGGGCCCACCUAGGCUUCGACGGGUAGCCGGCCUGAGAGGGCGGGCGGCCACAUUGGGACUGAGAUACGGCCCAGACUCCUACGGGAGGCAGCAGCC
rnacentral:rRNA from 1 species